AAGUCGUAACAAGGUUUCCGUAGGUGAACCUGCGGAAGGAUCAUUACCAAUCCAAUUGUGAUAAAACAACUGUGAACUUGCUGAAAGUACUUGGGUAGAAAUAUAUAUGAUGAUUGUUUUGUAUAAAAUCAAAACUUGUAGUUAUAUGUAUUUUUCUACCCAACAGUAUUAAAAAACUACCUUGAAAAUUUUGAAAAUUUUUGUUGAAAAAUAAAGGAAAAGAUGUGCUAGCGUAUGUUUUUUCUUUAAUUCAAAAUAAAAAUUUUACAACUUUUAGCGGUGGAUCUCUUGGCUCAU
rnacentral:misc_RNA from 1 species